rnacentral:rRNA from 1 species
AUUGAACGCUGGCGGCAGGCCUAACACAUGCAAGUCGAACGGUAACAGGAAGAAGCUUGCUUCUUUGCUGACGAGUGGCGGACGGGUGAGUAAUGUCUGGGAAACUGCCUGAUGGAGGGGGAUAACUACUGGAAACGGUAGCUAAUACCGCAUAACGUCGCAAGACCAAAGAGGGGGACCUUCGGGCCUCUUGCCAUCGGAUGUGCCCAGAUGGGAUUAGCUAGUAGGUGGGGUAACGGCUCACCUAGGCGACGAUCCCUAGCUGGUCUGAGAGGAUGACCAGCCACACUGGAACUGAGACACGGUCCAGACUCCUACGGGAGGCAGCAGUGGGGAAUAUUGCACAAUGGGCGCAAGCCUGAUGCAGCCAUGCCGCGUGUAUGAAGAAUGCCUUCGGGUUGUAAAGUACUUUCAGCGGGGAGGAAGGGAGUAAAGUUAAUACCUUUGCUCAUUGACGUUACCCGCAGAAGAAGCACCGGCUAACUCCGUG